rnacentral:rRNA from 1 species
AUUGAACGCUGGCGGCAGGCCUAACACAUGCAAGUCGAACGAGUGGCGGACGGGUGAGUAAUGCCUGGGAAACUGCCUGAUGGAGGGGGAUAACUACUGUAAACGGUAGCUAAUACCGCCUACCAUCGGAUGUGCCCAGAUGGGAUUAGCUAGUAGGUGGGGUAGAGGCUCACGAAGGCGACGAUCCCUAGCUGGUCUGCGCGGAUGACCGGCGACACUGGAACUGUGUCACGGGCCAGACUCCUACGGCAGUCACUGGUGGGUAUGAUUGAGCAUUGGGCGCCAGCCUGAUGCGACGAAUCCGCGUUUAGGAAGAAGGCCUUAGGGUUAUAAAGUGCUUUCAGCGGGGGGGCGUUACCCGCAGAAGAAGCGCGGGCUAGCUCCGUGCUAGCAGCCGCGGUAAUUC